GAUAAACGCUGGCGGCGUGCAUAACACAUGCAAGUCGAACGAUGAAGCUUAACUGAUUUCUUCGGCAUGAUUUUAAGUGGAUUAGUGGCGGACGGGUGAGUAACGCGUGAGUAACCUGCCUUGCACAAGGGGAUAGCCGUUGGAAACGACGAAUAAUACCCUAUGAUAUAAACUCUUCGCAUGAAGGGCUUAUCAAAGAUUUAUCGGUGUAAGAUGGACUCGCGUCUGAUUAGCUAGUUGGUGGGGUAACAGCCUACCAAGGCAACGAUCAGUAGCCGGCUGGAGAGAGUGUACGGCCACAUUGGGACUGAGACACGGCCCAGACUCCUACGGGAGGCAGCAGUGGGGAAUUUUGCACAAUGGGGGAAACCCUGAUGCAGCGACGCCGCGUGAUUUAGAAGGCCUUCGGGUUGUAAAAAUCUUUUGUAUGGGAAGAAAAUGACAGUACCAUACGAAUAAGGACCGGCUAAUUACGUG
rnacentral:rRNA from 1 species